UUACUCUGGAGCCUUCACUGCGUGGGCA
rnacentral:sRNA from 1 species